AAAAAAAAAAAAAUCAUUUUUUGAACAAUCAUCAAUUUCUUUGUAAAAUUUUAAAAUCUUAAGGGCUUAGCACCCUUGGCCCUUGCCUAAAUCCGUCCCUGAGUAACCUAUAACUAAAUGUUAACCAGAGAAUAAAUAAAGAAAGAAAAUAAAAUUUAAAUUUUCAGAAGUAAAUAGCUUAAAUGAUUUAUGAAGCUAAAAAUAACUUAAAUGGCUCACAAGCCAUUAAUGGCUAAUAAAAUUAAAAUGUAUGAGUUGG
rnacentral:misc_RNA from 1 species